UACGUAGGGGCGAGCGUUGUCCGGAAUUACUAGGCGUAAAGGGCAGGCAGGCGGAUCCAUAAGUUUAUCGUUUAAGGCGUCGGCUUAACCGGCGUAGGGCGGUAGAUACUGUGGAUCUGGAAUGCGGUUGGGGAAGACAGAAUUCCUGGUGUAGCGGUGGAAUGCGCAGAGAUCAGGAGGAAUACCGAAGGCGAAGGCAGUCUUCCAAGCCGUUAUUGACGCUCAACUGCGAAGGUGUGGGUAUCAAACAGGAUUAGAUACCCUGGUAGUCCCUGA
rnacentral:rRNA from 1 species